CACCGCUCUGUGCUAAUUAUUGACUAAUAUUUGUCUAAUGGGUGAUGCAGGAGAAGCACCUCCAAAGGCUACAAGUAACGAGCUGUCCAGAAAAUCCGAUUGGCCUUCCACGACUGUUUUGUUGAGAGAUGUGAUGCAUCUGUCCGGUCAAGGUUUGUUUAUAACCUGAGAAAUAUCAAUCCCGAAUAUCAAAUCUCUUAGGGGAUACAACGUAAUUGAUGAGAUGAAGCAAAGAUUGGAAGCAGUCUGUCCUGAAACAUCAUUGUUCUUAGUGCAAGACAUUCCGUGGUUAUGGGCAAUCUGUAGGUAUAGCAACCUGGCAGAGAGCAAUCUGCGUUGGCCAAAUGAUGAAAUUCACACCAAGAUCUGCACAGUUAGGACGAAAGGGUUUUCAGCAAAGGAAAUGGUCAGCCCAGUUCCGCUUUUUCCAGGAAAGACUUCAAAGUGGGAGAGCCAAGCCCAGCAUCGAGAGGCAUCUGAACUCAAGGAGAAUGAAUUUGUUCGUUGGUGUGCGUGUGCGUGUUCUGUGCAGAAGGUGUUUAUCAAGGCUAUCUAGGAAAUCCGUUGGCCUUCCACGACUGUUUUGUUGAGAGGGAUGCGAUGCAUCUGUCCGGUCGAGGGAGACUUUUCACCUGAGAAAAAUUGAUCCCAAAUAUCAAAUCUGUUAGAUGAGAUGAAGCAAAUAUUGGAAGCAGAAAGAUCAUUGUGCAUAUUGCAAGACAUUCGAUGCUUAUGGGCACUCUGCAGGUACACCAUGACCCGGUAGAGUGCAAUCUGCCUUGGUCGAACGAUGAAAUUCACACCAAGAUCCGCACAUCCGGGACGAAAGGGGUUUCGGCAAAGGAAAUGCCGCUUUUUCCAGGAAAGACUCUCAAACAUUAACUGAUCUGAAUUAUGGAUUUAGAUGACAACACCUGAGUGAGAACUUCCGGUGAUCUGAAUUAUGGAUUAAGAUGACAACACCUGAGUGAGAACCUGCGGUAUUGUAAAUUUUGUUUACAAGAACACGAAAGCAUAGAAUUGAAGCAAGCCAAAAAGUAUUGUAUUCAAUUCGAAAAUCCAACAUAUAGGGGAAAUGACCGAGUAGUUGAGCAUGUACCAAUUGUUGUGAGGGUUGUUGAUACUUUUUGUUCCAAAAAUUGAACAAAUAAAACCUAUUGUUUGAAACAAAAAAUAUCAAUUUUUGUUAGGAAAUGUACCAACAGUUGUUAGGAAAUGUACCAAUACUUGUUAAGAAAUGUACUAAUAUUGUAAAAAGUAACCGUUCAGGUGAGGCCAUAUCAGCUGCACAACUAUUGGGGUCUCUUUUGCACGCCGAUUGGUCUCACUUUUUUUUAUUUUGGACACCUUGGCAAAAAGCAUGCUGAUGUGGCAUCAUAUUUGAUGAUGUGGCCCUGAAACCUUAGUUAUAAGUAGGGGACUUGCCAAGUAAGCUGCUGUAAAAAAAUCAGAGUGAUUUGAAAUUUCCAAGUAGGAUUUUUAGAAGCGCA